GGGCUCAGAUUCGCCUUUAAUCAGACAAAGAUCAAACCGGCUGGCAACAACAGUUGCCAUGUAUGAGAGAGGGAAAAAAGGGAAAAAGAGGAGUUGGAAACUCCAUAUAUUUCUCUCCAUUUCUCUCACAUCAGACCAUCAGAUUUGUUGCCAAGCUACGAUUGAUUCGGACCUGGUCUGCCUUUCUUUAUAAGACAUCAUCACAGCCUCAUUCACACAGUUACAAGUUUAAAG
rnacentral:lncRNA from 1 species